UAGCAUUCACCAUUUUGGUUGAGGUUACAUAUAUAUGAUUAUGAUCCCAAAGUUUUUUUUCUAUUUGCAGAAACCAUCAACAAUUAAGCUGGUGGACAUUACCUUCAGGAAUAUUAGAGGAACAUCAGGGAACAAGGACGCAGUAAAACUAUUGUGCAGCAAGGGACAUCCAUGUGAGAACGUUGAGAUUGGAGACAUUAACAUUGAGUACACAGGACCUGACGGUCCACCCACUUUCGAGUGCACAAACGUCACACCUAAGCUUGUGGGAACCCAGAACCCAAAGGCUUGCGUUGGACCUGUGGUCAAGGCUCCUGGCAAAGAGUAAAAUGUUGAAGCUCAUAUCAACACACUAGGGCUUCCACAUCCAAUUUUGUUUAUUCUUUUUCUAAUCCUUUUUCAAGUCACGUAAGGGAGACUUUUACAAAGCUGUAACAAAAAAAUGUUUCUAUCCGAUGCCAACACAUAUAUAGAUGUGUGAGUGCAUAAUGAUGUAAUUAAUAAAACUAAAUUAUAUAUUCUGCGUAUGAUUGUUUCUUUUUAAAAUAUUAAUAUGCGCGGUAAGUUGUAUACACUUCAAUCUUAAUUUUGUUUUCUUUUCCGAAUCUUAAAAUUAUUUAACAAGAUCUGAUUUCAACCUUAAGAUUAAUUUAACUAAUACAGUAUUAGUUUUUUUUUUUUGAGAACUCAUUUUAAACUAGAACUCAAAUCAUUUCAAUAAUAGUUCACUAACAUGUAGUAUUCUUUCCAAGUUAUACUGAACUAGAACUCAAAGAUACACUUGUUCAUACAUAACCGAUGCAAGCAUUUGGACAACGAAACAUGACAUCGUCAUAAGUAAUCUGAUUGGAAAUGUAAUUUUCAAUCAAACUUUCGCUCUUUGCUUAUGAUCUCUUUGGAAAAAAUUUCACUUGAUAAUAUGAGGUGCAUACUCUUCCUCUCUACUUUGGUUCAAUGCUCCUUAAACAUGUUGGAUACUUUUUUAGGCUUCAAUAUAAAAAAGAAGUUAGGAAAAAUUUAUUGAUAUUGUUAGUAAUAUUACUUCUAUGAUAUUGGUACUUCAAAAGAAGCAUGAGUUAUUAUAGAAACUAGGUUAAGAUCUCUGUUUUGCGCAUGAUGAAUUUUAUGUAUACAAAUGAUAUUUUUCUAUUUUUAUUAUUUAUUUUGUGUUUAUUUAUUUCAUAUUUAUAUAAUUAAAUUAGAGUAAACACAUAAAUCAAAACUAUACCUCCUUUUAUUUCUAAUUUUUUUCAUAAAUAAAUCAAUCGUUUUAUUUAUUUUAUAUGAAAUAUAAUUAAUUUGAAUGAUAAUGACAUAGAUAUCUAGUAAAAUUUAAUAUAACUUAUUAAUUGAGAUUUCCUACUCAUAUAAUCUUAUUAACAUUUGUAUAUAUUGCUGUAAAAAAAAUUAAACCAUUAAUUACAAAACUUUCAAUGUGAGAUUUAUUUCAAUACAAAAUUUUAAAUUGAAAUAUUAAGGUCUCAAUACUUUUAAAAUGUAAAUUUCAAAAUUAACGUAUUUAUGUAUUUUUAUAUGGUAUAUAGUUUAAUUUAAACGAUAUUAAGAUAUAUAUAUAUAUAUAUAUUUAAUAUGAAUAUCUAUUAAAUGAGACUUUAUAUUCAUACAAUUUUAUGAUCAUUUUGUAUCUUGUUAUAACAAAAAAAAGUAGUUAAACCAUUGAUUACAAAAUUUCAAUAUGGGCUUUUAACAUUUUUUAGUAAUUUAUAGUUUUUUAAAAUUCAUAAUAUAACAUAUAAGAAAGAGUCUAUAUUUUAAGUAUAUGGUUAAUGUGAUUGUAUAAUUUCUUUUAAUAAUAUAAAAUUAAAUAAAAUAGAUGGAGGUUACAAAAAUUGUUAUCAAAUCUUUAUUAUUCAUAAUCAUUAGUUUUCGUAUAUAUGUUAAUCAUAUUAGGUAAUUUCGUAACUUUUAUUUAGAGAAAUAAUGAAAAUAUUCUUUUGAACAUACAUUACUAAUCAAUUUGAUAGUUAGUUUAAUAAUAAGAUAUAAUAUAUGUUUCGAUAGACCAUCUAUUUUUUUAAGGAUCCUAAGCAUCAUUGUUGUAUUAAUACGUGGAUACAAAAAAAUGUUGCAAUGCUUUUCAAAUAUAUAAAUGAUUAUGUGGUUGAAAGAAAUUAGAAAAAUGCAAUGCAGUUAAGUAAUGAGGAACGAUUGAUUUUUGUUAUUAAAAGACGGAAGUCACGAACCACAUUAAUUAAAGUCAUCGAUUACUGACUGAUGACAACAUAUUUGACAAACAAUAAUAGAAGUUACAUAUAUUAACGCAUAAAGUUACAAAAUACAUAUACAUAUUUGACAAACAAUAAUAGAAGCGACGAAAUACAAACAAACACCUAAAACAAUUAAUUUUCAAAUACAGUCCAGGUUCUCCGAAAGUCGUUUGCUUUGAAAUGCUCUUUUUUAACUUAGUCAUAAACAUCUUCAUCUUUAUAACAUUAAUUAUUUCUUUUAUGAACUGGUUUGCCUUUUUUUCUUCAUGAUAUUGGGUUCAAUAGUUCCAACUUUUGCCUUUUGAAUUGUGUAAAUCUAUUUCACUAUUUGUUGACCAUUUGCAAUUCUUGCUUUUCUUUCAUCAUAUCAUUUUUUGUUGUAUACAUUUCCCUUGAAUGAUGACUAACUUAUACAAAAUUGGAAUCACUUGCAUCAUUUUCGUGGAUUCUUUUAAACCCACUUCUGCCUGACUACAAGAACAUAUUUAAUCACAGAUGAUGACGAGCCCCAUUCCAACAUGUUGAAAUGUAUAGUCUUGGCACUUGAACAUAGCUCAUGCGUUUUUUUUGUCAAUAUAUCAUUAUUCUCUGAUCAUCCAUUUUGUUACAUAGACUUUGCUAUUGUCAGUGCCAACCAUUAUUCCGAUAGUUUUUUCAUGUGGUGUAGUAAUUUUUCUAAACGAAGCAAUUACUGUUCUCUAACAAUUUUGAAAACCAACCAAUGCUAACGUCCAUAUAUAUUUUCCGCAGCCUGCACAACAGGAUUAUCAGAACGUAAAUCUCCUGAAUUUCUUUAAGUUCUAGUACCUUAUAAAAUUCUACUAACAAUUUGAUAUCUUUUUAGAUGGUGUAAAUGUAAUAACAUAAGUUGGCUAGAAACUAACCUCCCAAAAAUAGAGGUAUCAUGCAAAUGCUAUAAACACGAGUGGAACAAGUCUUAUGCCUAACAAUUGAACGCUAAUUUCCCAAAAUUAAAGUAACCUAGCUAAUACUUCCUUAAAAAUGGGUCAAACAUUCUAAAAAAUGAGAAGUUGGGAGAAAGUAUGGGCCUUCAACAUAUCUCUCCAUUUAACGCACUAUAUAAAGCAGCAGGUGCGUAGUAAAAAUCUCAGAAAACAAAAAUUAAAAGACAAUAAAAAAUAAAAAUAAAUAAAUAAAUAUGGGUUCAUAUUUGGGAAUCUAUACAAUUUUGGUUCUAUGUUUGCUAAAAUAAAAAUGGGUUCAUAUAUGGGAAUAUGUACAAUUUUUGUUCUAUGUUUGCUGGGAUAUUCAGCCAAUGCUGAGGUGUUCACCGCUGGUGGUCCUCCAAAUUCUGAUAUUACCGCGGUUAGUAUCUUCACUUGUUUUUUAUUACUUGAAUUCCAAUCAAUGUGUAAACCAUUUCUUAUAUUAACAUACUCGUGGGAGCUAUUGUUGCAGGCAGUUCUUAAAGCAUUCACAUCGGCAUGCCAAGCUCCGGCACCAAGCCAGGUGCUGAUCCCAAAAGGUGACUUCAAGCUUGGUGAGACCGUGAUGACUGGUCCAUGCAAAUCUCCAAUCGAGUUCACCUUGCAAGGCAACGUGAAAGCUGACGGUGGCUCUACCCAGGGAAAGGAUAGAUGGGUUGUGUUCGAAAAAAUUAAUGGUUUUAAGUUGAACGGAGGUGGAACAUUUGACGGUGAAGGCAAUGCAGCUUGGAAAGCCAACAACUGCCACAAGACUUUUGAGUGCAAGAAACUUCCCAUCGUAGGUGUUUCCGUCUUUAAUAUAUUAACACCAAUGGCUUUUUUUAAAGAUGAUAUAAUUCAGUGAUGCAUGCUAUCUUUCAGAGUGUAAGGUUUGAUUUUGUGGAUAACGCUGAGAUAAAAGACAUAACCUCAUUAGAUGCCAAAAACUUCCACUUCAACGUUAUCAGCGGCAAGAACAUGACCUUUGAUAACAUCAAGAUCAUCGCUCCAGCUGAAAGCCCCAACACUGACGGUAUCCAUUUGGGAAGAUGUGAGGGAGUCAAGAUCCUCAACACUAAGAUCGCCACAGGAGAUGACUGCAUCUCCGUGGGAGAUGGGAUGAAGAAUCUCCUCAUUGAGAAAGUUGUGUGCGGUCCAGGACACGGAAUCAGUGUUGGAAGCCUUGGAAGGUACGGAUGGGAGCAAGAUGUCACUGACAUUAACGUUAAGAACUGUACCCUUGAGGGAACCGACAACGGUCUGAGGAUCAAGACAUGGCCAUCUGCCGCUUGCACCACCACCGCUGCCGGUAUUCAUUUUGAGGAUAUCAUCCUUAACAAAGUUAGCAACCCAAUCCUCAUCGACCAGGAGUACUGCCCUUGGAACCAAUGCAACAAGAACGUAAGUAUCUUUUAUUAGAUUCUAUGUCUUGCCACUAUCACCGUAUUCUAUGAAAUUGGAUGGCUCAGCAAACAUAUUAUUCUGAUGGUUUUCUAGAUAUUUAGCAUUCACCAUUUUGGUUGAGGUUACAUAUAUAUGAUUAUGAUCCCAAAGUUUUUUUUUCUAUUUGCAGAAACCAUCAACAAUUAAGCUGGUGGACAUUACCUUCAGGAAUAUUAGAGGAACAUCAGGGAACAAGGACGCAGUAAAACUAUUGUGCAGCAAGGGACAUCCAUGUGAGAACGUUGAGAUUGGAGACAUUAACAUUGAGUACACAGGACCUGACGGUCCACCCACUUUCGAGUGCACAAACGUCACACCUAAGCUUGUGGGAACCCAGAACCCAAAGGCUUGCGUUGGACCUGUGGUCAAGGCUCCUGGCAAAGAGUAAAAUGUUGAAGCUCAUAUCAACACACUAGGGCUUCCACAUCCAAUUUUGUUUAUUCUUUUUCUAAUCCUUUUUCAAGUCACGUAAGGGAGACUUUUACAAAGCUGUAACAAAAAAAUGUUUCUAUCCGAUGCCAACACAUAUAUAGAUGUGUGAGUGCAUAAUGAUGUAAUUAAUAAAACUAAAUUAUAUAUUCUGCGUAUGAUUGUUUCUUUUUAAAAUAUUAAUAUGCGCGGUAAGUUGUAUACACUUCAAUCUUAAUUUUGUUUUCUUUUCCGAAUCUUAAAAUUAUUUAACAAGAUCUGAUUUCAACCUUAAGAUUAAUUUAACUAAUACAGUAUUAGUUUUUUUUUUUUUAGAACUCAUUUUAAACUAGAACUCAAAUCAUUUCAAUAAUAGUUCACUAACAUGUAGUAUUCUUUCCAAGUUAUACUGAACUAGAACUCAAAGAUACACUUGUUCAUACAUAACCGAUGCAAGCAUUUGGACAACGAAACAUGACAUCGUCAUAAGUAAUCUGAUUGGAAAUGUAAUUUUCAAUCAAACUUUCGCUCUUUGCUUAUGAUCUCUUUGGAAAAAAUUUCACUUGAUAAUAUGAGGUGCAUACUCUUCCUCUCUACUUUGGUUCAAUGCUCCUUAAACAUGUUGGAUACUUUUUUAGGCUUCAAUAUAAAAAAGAAGUUAGGAAAAAUUUAUUGAUAUUGUUAGUAAUAUUACUUCUAUGAUAUUGGUACUUCAAAAGAAGCAUGAGUUAUUAUAGAAACUAGGUUAAGAUCUCUGUUUUGCGCAUGAUGAAUUUUAUGUAUACAAAUGAUAUUUUUCUAUUUUUAUUAUUUAUUUUGUGUUUAUUUAUUUCAUAUUUAUAUAAUUAAAUUAGAGUAAACACAUAAAUCAAAACUAUACCUCCUUUUAUUUCUAAUUUUUUUCAUAAAUAAAUCAAUCGUUUUAUUUAUUUUAUAUGAAAUAUAAUUAAUUUGAAUGAUAAUGACAUAGAUAUCUAGUAAAAUUUAAUAUAACUUAUUAAUUGAGAUUUCCUACUCAUAUAAUCUUAUUAACAUUUGUAUAUAUUGCUGUAAAAAAAAUUAAACCAUUAAUUACAAAACUUUCAAUGUGAGAUUUAUUUCAAUACAAAAUUUUAAAUUGAAAUAUUAAGGUCUCAAUACUUUUAAAAUGUAAAUUUCAAAAUUAACGUAUUUAUGUAUUUUUAUAUGGUAUAUAGUUUAAUUUAAACGAUAUUAAGAUAUAUAUAUAUAUAUAUAUUUAAUAUGAAUAUCUAUUAAAUGAGACUUUAUAUUCAUACAAUUUUAUGAUCAUUUUGUAUCUUGUUAUAACAAAAAAAAGUAGUUAAACCAUUGAUUACAAAAUUUCAAUAUGGGCUUUUAACAUUUUUUAGUAAUUUAUAGUUUUUUAAAAUUCAUAAUAUAACAUAUAAGAAAGAGUCUAUAUUUUAAGUAUAUGGUUAAUGUGAUUGUAUAAUUUCUUUUAAUAAUAUAAAAUUAAAUAAAAUAGAUGGAGGUUACAAAAAUUGUUAUCAAAUCUUUAUUAUUCAUAAUCAUUAGUUUUCGUAUAUAUGUUAAUCAUAUUAGGUAAUUUCGUAACUUUUAUUUAGAGAAAUAAUGAAAAUAUUCUUUUGAACAUACAUUACUAAUCAAUUUGAUAGUUAGUUUAAUAAUAAGAUAUAAUAUAUGUUUCGAUAGACCAUCUAUUUUUUUAAGGAUCCUAAGCAUCAUUGUUGUAUUAAUACGUGGAUACAAAAAAAUGUUGCAAUGCUUUUCAAAUAUAUAAAUGAUUAUGUGGUUGAAAGAAAUUAGAAAAAUGCAAUGCAGUUAAGUAAUGAGGAACGAUUGAUUUUUGUUAUUAAAAGACGGAAGUCACGAACCACAUUAAUUAAAGUCAUCGAUUACUGACUGAUGACAACAUAUUUGACAAACAAUAAUAGAAGUUACAUAUAUUAACGCAUAAAGUUACAAAAUACAUAUACAUAUUUGACAAACAAUAAUAGAAGCGACGAAAUACAAACAAACACCUAAAACAAUUAAUUUUCAAAUACAGUCCAGGUUCUCCGAAAGUCGUUUGCUUUGAAAUGCUCUUUUUUAACUUAGUCAUAAACAUCUUCAUCUUUAUAACAUUAAUUAUUUCUUUUAUGAACUGGUUUGCCUUUUUUUCUUCAUGAUAUUGGGUUCAAUAGUUCCAACUUUUGCCUUUUGAAUUGUGUAAAUCUAUUUCACUAUUUGUUGACCAUUUGCAAUUCUUGCUUUUCUUUCAUCAUAUCAUUUUUUGUUGUAUACAUUUCCCUUGAAUGAUGACUAACUUAUACAAAAUUGGAAUCACUUGCAUCAUUUUCGUGGAUUCUUUUAAACCCACUUCUGCCUGACUACAAGAACAUAUUUAAUCACAGAUGAUGACGAGCCCCAUUCCAACAUGUUGAAAUGUAUAGUCUUGGCACUUGAACAUAGCUCAUGCGUUUUUUUUGUCAAUAUAUCAUUAUUCUCUGAUCAUCCAUUUUGUUACAUAGACUUUGCUAUUGUCAGUGCCAACCAUUAUUCCGAUAGUUUUUUCAUGUGGUGUAGUAAUUUUUCUAAACGAAGCAAUUACUGUUCUCUAACAAUUUUGAAAACCAACCAAUGCUAACGUCCAUAUAUAUUUUCCGCAGCCUGCACAACAGGAUUAUCAGAACGUAAAUCUCCUGAAUUUCUUUAAGUUCUAGUACCUUAUAAAAUUCUACUAACAAUUUGAUAUCUUUUUAGAUGGUGUAAAUGUAAUAACAUAAGUUGGCUAGAAACUAACCUCCCAAAAAUAGAGGUAUCAUGCAAAUGCUAUAAACACGAGUGGAACAAGUCUUAUGCCUAACAAUUGAACGCUAAUUUCCCAAAAUUAAAGUAACCUAGCUAAUACUUCCUUAAAAAUGGGUCAAACAUUCUAAAAAAUGAGAAGUUGGGAGAAAGUAUGGGCCUUCAACAUAUCUCUCCAUUUAACGCACUAUAUAAAGCAGCAGGUGCGUAGUAAAAAUCUCAGAAAACAAAAAUUAAAAGACAAUAAAAAAUAAAAAUAAAUAAAUAAAUAUGGGUUCAUAUUUGGGAAUCUAUACAAUUUUGGUUCUAUGUUUGCUAGGAUAUUCAGCCAAUGCUGAGGUGUUCACCGCUGGUGGUCCUCCAAAUUCUGAUAUUACCGCGGUUAGUAUCUUCACUUGUUUUUUAUUACUUGAAUUCCAAUCAAUGUGUAAACCAUUUCUUAUAUUAACAUACUCGUGGGAGCUAUUGUUGCAGGCAGUUCUUAAAGCAUUCACAUCGGCAUGUCAAGCUCCGGCACCAAGCCAGGUGCUGAUCCCAAAAGGUGACUUCAAGCUUGGUGAGACCGUGAUGACUGGUCCAUGCAAAUCUCCAAUCGAGUUCACCUUGCAAGGCAACGUGAAAGCUGACGGUGGCUCUACCCAGGGAAAGGAUAGAUGGGUUGUGUUCGAAAAAAUUAAUGGUUUUAAGUUGAACGGAGGUGGAACAUUUGACGGUGAAGGCAAUGCAGCUUGGAAAGCCAAUAACUGCCACAAGACUUUUGAGUGCAAGAAACUUCCCAUCGUAUGUGUUUAUGUCUUUAAUAUAUUAACACCAAUGGCUUUUUUAAAGAUGAUAUAAUUCAGUGAUGCAUGCUAUCUUUCAGAGCAACUGCCACAAGACUUUUGAGUGCAAGAAACUUCCCAUCGUAGGUGUUUCCGUCUUUAAUAUAUUAACACCAAUGGCUUUUUUUAAAGAUGAUAUAAUUCAGUGAUGCAUGCUAUCUUUCAGAGUGUAAGGUUUGAUUUUGUGGAUAACGCUGAGAUAAAAGACAUAACCUCAUUAGAUGCCAAAAACUUCCACUUCAACGUUAUCAGCGGCAAGAACAUGACCUUUGAUAACAUCAAGAUCAUCGCUCCAGCUGAAAGCCCCAACACUGACGGUAUCCAUUUGGGAAGAUGUGAGGGAGUCAAGAUCCUCAACACUAAGAUCGCCACAGGAGAUGACUGCAUCUCCGUGGGAGAUGGGAUGAAGAAUCUCCUCAUUGAGAAAGUUGUGUGCGGUCCAGGACACGGAAUCAGUGUUGGAAGCCUUGGAAGGUACGGAUGGGAGCAAGAUGUCACUGACAUUAACGUUAAGAACUGUACCCUUGAGGGAACCGACAACGGUCUGAGGAUCAAGACAUGGCCAUCUGCCGCUUGCACCACCACCGCUGCCGGUAUUCAUUUUGAGGAUAUCAUCCUUAACAAAGUUAGCAACCCAAUCCUCAUCGACCAGGAGUACUGCCCUUGGAACCAAUGCAACAAGAACGUAAGUAUCUUUUAUUAGAUUCUAUGUCUUGCCACUAUCACCGUAUUCUAUGAAAUUGGAUGGCUCAGCAAACAUAUUAUUCUGAUGGUUUUCUAGAUAUUUAGCAUUCACCAUUUUGGUUGAGGUUACAUAUAUAUGAUUAUGAUCCCAAAGUUUUUUUUCUAUUUGCAGAAACCAUCAACAAUUAAGCUGGUGGACAUUACCUUCAGGAAUAUUAGAGGAACAUCAGGGAACAAGGACGCAGUGAAACUAUUGUGCAGCAAGGGACAUCCAUGUGAGAACGUUGAGAUUGGAGACAUUAACAUUGAGUACACAGGACCUGACGGUCCACCCACUUUCGAGUGCACAAACGUCACACCUAAGCUUGUGGGAACCCAGAACCCAAAGGCUUGCGUUGGACCUGUGGUCAAGGCUCCUGGCAAAGAGUAAAAUGUUGAAGCUCAUAUCAACACAUUAGGGCUUCCACAUCCAAUUUUGUUUAUUCUUUUUCUAAUUCUUUUUCAAGUCACGUAAGGAGACUUUUACAAAGCUGUAACAAAAAAAUGUUUCUAUCGAUGCCAACACAUAAUGUGUGAGUGCAUUAUGAUUUAAUAAAACUAAAAAGAUUUAUCUAUC
rnacentral:lncRNA from 1 species